GAUGAACGCUGGCUGCGUGCCUAAUACAUGCAAGUCGAGCGAAUGGAUUAAGAGCCUGCUCUUAUGAAGUUAGCGGCGGACGGGUGAGUAACACGUGGGUAACCUGCCCAUAAGACUGGGAUAACUCCGGGAAACCGGGGCUAAUACCGGAUAACAUUUUGAACCGCAUGGUUCGAAAUUGAAAGGCGGCUUCGGCUGUCACUUAUGGAUGGACCCGCGUCGCAUUAGCUAGUUGGUGAGGUAACGGCUCACCAAGGCAACGAUGCGUAGCCGACCUGCGAGGGUGAUCGGCCACACUGGGACUGAGACACGGCCCAGACUCCUACGGGAGGCAGCAGUAGGGAAUCUUCCGCAAUGGACGAAAGUCUGACGGAGCAACGCCGCGUGAGGGAUGAAGGCUUUCGGGUCGUAAAACUCUGUUGUUAGGGAAGAACAAGUGCUAGUUGAAUAAGCUGGCACCUUGAUGGUACCUAACCAGAAAGCCACGGCUAACUACGUGCCAGCCGCCGCAGUAA
rnacentral:rRNA from 1 species